GGACAGCCAAAGGACCAUGAAGCUAGGUUGAGGGUUGUUGAGACCAAGAUGACUACCCUUUACGAGCAAAUAAGAUCAGGGUUUAGGACUAGAUUUGAGAAGGCAAAGACUGGAUGAGAGGCUGUACUGAGGGCUGCACUAUCUAACCUAUGUGUUGAUUUAAUACAUGGCUUAAUGAGUUUGAGAGAUGGGUUACAGACCAAUUCACAAAGACAGAAAUGCCGGAUCUAUCCCAGAUGAUGAAGGAGUUUGUUAUAUUAUGAGUAAAGGUACUCUCUCUCAAAGAUAGUCAUGUAGCAUACACUCCCUAAGUUAUACCCUUGGUAGUCCAGAUAUCCCUCCG
rnacentral:lncRNA from 1 species